rnacentral:rRNA from 1 species
GCAGGGUGGCCCCAGUAAUCAGCACAAGUUAGAAUGUGGGCAACUCAGCAGUCGUUGCGCAGGCACUUUGGUGACUCUAGAUAACCUCGGGCCGAUCGCACGUCCCCGUGACGGCAACGACGUAUUCGGAUGUCUGCCCUAUCAACUUUCAAUGGUACUUUCUGCGCCUACCAUGGUGACCACGGGUAACGUGGAAUCAGGGUUCGAUUCCAGAGAGGGAGUCUGAGAAACGGCUACCACAUCCAAGGAAGGCAGCAGGCGCACAAAUUACCCACUCCCGACACGGGGGGUAGUGAC